rnacentral:rRNA from 1 species
GUCCCAGUUCAGAUUGCAGGCUGAAACCCGCCUGCAUGAAGACGGAAUUGCUAGUAAUCGCGGAUCAGCAUGCCGCGGUGAAUACGUUCCCGGGCCUUGUACACACCGCCCGUCACACCAUGAGAGUCGGUAACACCCGAAGCCUGUGAGCUAACCGUAAGGAGGCAGCAGUCGAAGGUGGGAUCGAUAAUUGGGGUGAAGUCGUAACAAGGUAAC